rnacentral:lncRNA from 1 species
CAAAGGUUACACCGGCAUUAAGCCCAAAAACCCCAUCCCCUAAAAUUCAACCACCACCACAUCCACCCAAAAAAGCACCUGUUUCUCUACCACCAUUAUCUAUACCACCUGUUUCACUUCCACCAUUACCAUUACCACCAGCUUCUAAACCACCAAAGGUAUCCCCAGCACCUGCAAAGGUUCCAAAAGCACCAGCACCGGCCAAAGAAGCACCAGCACCAGCACCUACACACAAAAAGAAAGCACCAGCACCCGCACCAGACAAAGAAACACCGGCACCAGCACCUACACACAAAAAGAAGAAAGCACCAAAAUCAUCACCUGUUCCUUCCCCAGCAAUUCUCCCACCAUCACCUGCACCAACACCUGCAAUAGACACACCAUCAUCAGCACCAGCACCAUCGCCUGAAGAUGAUGCGCCAGAACCACCGCCACCCCACAAGCACAAGAGAAGAAAACACAAGCAUAGUAAGCAUAAGAAACAUCACGCACUAGCUCUAGCACCAGAGCCUACAAGUUCAAGUUCAACAAUCAUUAGGAGGAGUCCCCCAGCACCACUGGCUGAUGAUAAUACUACAAUGAGUUC